UAAUGGCCUACCAAGGCGACGACGGGUAGCCGGCCUGGGAGGGCGACCGGCCACACUGGGACUGAGACACGGCCCAUACUCCUACGGGAGGCAGCAGUGGGGAAUCUUGCGCAAUGGGCGAAAGCCUGACGCAGCGCCGCCGCGUGGGGGAUGAAGGCCUUCGGGUUGUAAACCCCUUUCAGCAGGGACGAAAAAUGACGGUUCCUGCAGAAGAAGCGCCUGCUAACUACCUGCCAGCAGCCGCGGUAACACGUACGGCGCAAGCGUUGUCCGGAAUUAUUGGGCGUAAAGAGCUCGUAGGCGGUCUGUUGCGUCCGCUGUGAAAUCUCGGGGCUUAACCCUGGCCUUGCAGUGGAUACGGGCAGACUAGAGGUAGGUAGGGGAGAAUGGAAUUCCCGGUGUAGCGGUGAAAUG
rnacentral:rRNA from 1 species